rnacentral:ncRNA from 1 species
AAAAAACCAAUGAUAAAGCACAGUAAUUAAGAAACACAUGAAAAGAGAAGAAAUGUCUUAGGCUGAAAGCAUUUCUACAUGAUGACUUAAUGAAUGAACACUUUGUAGGUUUCAUCCUGAACGGAUUUAUCUUAAUAGGGAUGAACGUAGAACAGGCGUUAACUGUUUCGAGUGGAAGCAUUUUGCUUCAAUUAGGGUGGCACCACGGGAAACAACUCUCGUCCCUUGU